rnacentral:rRNA from 1 species
GAUGAACGCUGGCGGCGUGCCUAAUACAUGCAAGUCGAGCGAACGGACGAGAAGCUUGCUUCUCUGAUGUUAGCGGCGGACGGGUGAGUAACACGUGGAUAACCUACCUAUAAGACUGGGAUAACUUCGGGAAACCGGAGCUAAUACCGGAUGAUAUUUUGAACCGCAUGGUUCAAAAGUGAAAGACGGUCUUGCUGUCACUUAUAGAUGGAUCCGCGGUGCAUUAGCUAGUUGGUAAGGUAACGGCUUACCAAGGCAACGAUGCAUAGCCGACCUGAGAGGAUGAUCGGCCACACUGGAACUGAGACACGGUCCAGACUCCUACGGGAGGCAGCAGUAGGGAAUCUUGCGCAAUGGGCGAAAGCCUGACGGAGCAACGCCGCGUGAGUGAUGAAGGUCUUCGGGUCGUAAAACUCUGUUAUUAGGGAAGAACAGAUGUGUAAGUAACUGUGCACAUCUUGACGGUACCUAAUCAGAAAGCCACGGCUAACUACGUG